rnacentral:rRNA from 1 species
UACAGAGGUCUCAAGCGUUGUUCGGAUUCAUUGGGCGUAAAGGGUGCGUAGGCGGCGCGGUAAGUCGGGUGUGAAAUCUCGGAGCUUAACUCCGAAACUGCAUUCGAUACUGCCGUGCUUGAGGACUGGAGAGGAGACUGGAAUUUACGGUGUAGCGGUGAAAUGCGUAGAUAUCGUAAGGAAGAUCAGUGGCGAAGGCGGGGUCUCUGGACAGUUCCUGACGCUGAGGCACGAAGGUCAGGGGGAGCAAACGGG